CUCUGUAGUGUUAGCAGCUCAUGACUCAACUUCAAACAAAAUUGAAACCCUAAUCCUCUUCACUGUUACGGAACCGCUCCCCCCAUCGCGACACCAAAUCGAUCAAAGGGAAACCAUUUUUUACUCUCCAAUUCAAGAGAUUCCUUUUCAGUCGGGAAGGAGAUAGUGACAUCGAAGGUGGCGGUGGUGGUGGAGCUGACGCCUUUCAUUCUCCGAUUGGCUGUAAGUAUCGUUCCGUGUUGGCUAACGAUCGUGCUCUACUUGAGAUGUCUUCCAUAGAUCCACUAUCUUCUUCUUCCUCAACAUUUCACAACCUUAAUUUCACAACCUUAAUUUCACCAUGCAAUUUCAAUCUUAUGAUAUGGUCUUCCGUCGGAUUCCGAUUCCGUUUUCGUUUAGGUUCUGCUUUGGAUCCCUAUUCAGGAGCUUCGGAAGCAGGUUUUCUUUUAUCACGGUAUGUUCAAAAUUUGCAGAGUAAAUUGUUGGUUGAAGAUUGACACAAAACUCAGUCUCAAAUGUUGCUUAUGGAACUUGUUGAGUCAGCUCUGUGCUGUGUUGCAAUUGUAUUGGAUCAACUAUUCGUUCCUGUUUGGUAUCAGACAUGGAACUGAGUUGGAUCAUAGAGAAGUAUUCCUUCUCACAACUGGCCAUGCAGUGAUUGCAGUUCUAGGUUUCUUGGUAAAUUGCAGCUUGAGUUUUCUUUUUGUAAGUUCAAUCUUUUUGGAAUAUUUGGGGUGUUAGUAAUGGAACUGAUUCAAUACUGUGUAAGUUCAAUCUUUUUGUAAAAAAACAUUUGAGGUGUUAGUAAUGGAACUGAUUCAAUAAGUACACUUGGCUUUCUUACCUUCAAAUUUUCUCUAGGUUGAUGUGAAUGGUGGAACAAACAUGACCGGCGAAUUGCUACUCUUGAGUUUGACUUUGACAGGAAGUCAAUGGGUGUUAUUGUUGACACUGGUGUGGGGAAAAACUUGAUGUUGGUUAAGAUUUGCAGAAGCAACUAUGUAUAUGGCAUCAAAGCUGAAUUUAGAUGGAAUAUCAACAUGAAUCUCAACCACGUGUUUUCUUUUGAGCAACUCACCACAUGAACUCUUUAUCUCUCCACUGGGAAUUUGCAAAAAGAUUUGCUGGCCAAUCCAAGCGCUCAUUCUUUUGAUGAGCUAGCUUUGCUGUUGCAUCAAGAAUUGAAUAGUUCACCUCGUGUACCCCGUGCACGCCAGCUUGCCACAGCUAACUUCUACUAGUGCUACAAACAUGCUAAUGAAGCGAGCAUCGGUUGGAGGAAAGGAUAACUAUUUGGCUUAAUCAAUGAUAUAAUGAGCAAGGGCAGGCACAUAACAGAGAGCGAUAGAACCGGAGAACUUUGUAGCAGAUUUUAUAGUAACUUGUUCUAUAAAUUUGUAUUAUAAUUCAAAAUAUUUUAAAUUAUAAUUUUAUUUUUAUAUUAUGGUUACAUAGUCACAUUAUAAAAAUAUUUUAGAUUUUUAUAAUGUUUCAAAAGUUAAUAAAUUUUUUUUA